UCAGAUUGAACGCUGGCGGCAUGCCUUACACAUGCAAGUCGAACGGCAGCGCGGGAGCAAUCCUGGCGGCGAGUGGCGAACGGGUGAGUAAUACAUCGGAACGUGCCCAAUCGUGGGGGAUAACGCAGCGAAAGCUGUGCUAAUACCGCAUACGAUCUACGGAUGAAAGCAGGGGAUCGCAAGACCUUGCGCGAAUGGAGCGGCCGAUGGCAGAUUAGGUAGUUGGUGGGGUAAAGGCUCACCAAGCCUUCGAUCUGUAGCUGGUCUGAGAGGACGACCAGCCACACUGGGACUGAGACACGGCCCAGACUCCUACGGGAGGCAGCAGUGGGGAAUUUUGGACAAUGGGCGAAAGCCUGAUCCAGCCAUGCCGCGUGCAGGAUGAAGGCCUUCGGGUUGUAAACUGCUUUUGUACGGAACGAAAAGUCUCUUUCUAAUAAAGAGGGAUCAUGACGGUACCGUAAGAAUAAGCACCGGCUAACUACGUGCCAGCAGCCGCGGUAAUACGUAGGGUGCAAGCGUUAAUCGGAAUUACUGGGCGUAAAGCGUGCGCAGGCGGUUAUGUAAGACAGUUGUGAAAUCCCCGGGCUCAACCUGGGAACUGCAUCUGUGACUGCAUAGCUAGAGUACGGUAGAGGGGGAUGGAAUUCCGCGUGUAGCAGUGAAAUGCGUAGAUAUGCGGAGGAACACCGAUGGCGAAGGCAAUCCCC
rnacentral:rRNA from 1 species